GAUUCAUGCAAUCUUCUAGGGGCAAAUGAUC
rnacentral:piRNA from 1 species